UACGUAGGUGACAAGCGUUAUCCGGAAUUACUGGGCGUAAAGCGCACGCAGGCGGUGCGUUAAGUCUGACGUGAAAUCUCCUGGCUUAACUGGGAGGGGUCGUUGGAAACUGGCGGACUUGAGGCGAUGAGAGGGGUGUAGAAUUCCCGGUGUAGUGGUGGAAUGCGUAGAUAUCGGGAGGAACACCAGUGGCGAAGGCGACUACCUGGCCUGUUCUUGACGCUGAGGCGCGAAAGCUAGGGGAGCAAACGGG
rnacentral:rRNA from 1 species